rnacentral:rRNA from 1 species
UACAUGUGGGGCAAGCGUUGUUCGGAAUUACUGGGCAUAAAGGGUGCGUAGGCGGGUCUUUAAGUCAGGGGGGAAAUCCUGGAGCUCAACUCCAGAACUGCCUUUGAUACUGAAGAUCUUGAGUUCGGGAGAGGUGAGUGGAACUGCGAGUGUAGAGGUGAAAUUCGUAGAUAUUCGCAAGAACACCAGUGGCGAAGGCGGCUCACUGGCCCGAUACUGACGCUGAGGCACGAAAGCGUGGGGAGCAAACAGG